GGCAAAGGGAUUUCCUGCGGUCUACAAUGCAAGUCGAGCGGAUGAAGGGAGCUUGCUCCUGGAUUCAGCGGCGGACGGGUGAGUAAUGCCUAGGAAUCUGCCUGGUAGUGGGGGACAACGUUUCGAAAGGAACGCUAAUACCGCAUACGUCCUACGGGAGAAAGCAGGGGACCUUUGGGCCUUGCGCUAUCAGAUGAGCCUAGGUCGGAUUAGCUAGUUGGUGAGGUAAUGGCUCACCAAGGCGACGAUCCGUAACUGGUCUGAGAGGAUGAUCAGUCACACUGGAACUGAGACACGGUCCAGACUCCUACGGGAGGCAGCAGUGGGGAAUAUUGGACAAUGGGCGAAAGCCUGAUCCAGCCAUGCCGCGUGUGUGAAGAAGGUCUUCGGAUUGUAUAGCACUUUAAGUUGGGAGGAAGGGCUCCACCUAGUGUCCGUACGCCUUGGCGAAUAGCGACAAAGGGAAAAAAAACAAAACAGUUGGCCGGUUAAAAAAAGGGUGCAACACGAGGACUUCCCAUGAGGUAACCCAUCCCAGUACUACUCUCGCCCAAGGAUAAU
rnacentral:rRNA from 1 species